rnacentral:lncRNA from 1 species
GUUGGCCCCUACUGGGAGGUGUCUCCCAGUUAGGCUAUACAGGGGUCAGGGAUCCACUUGAGGAGGCAGUCUGUCCAUUCUCGGAGCUCAAACACGUGCUGGGAGAACCACUGCUCUCUUCAGAGCUGUCAGUCAGGGACGUUUAAGUCUGCAGAAGUUGUCUGCUGCCUUUUGUUCAGCUAUGCCAUGCCCCCAGAGGCGGGGUCUACAGAGGCAGUAGGCCUUGCUGAGCUGCAGUGGGCUCUGCCCAGUUUGACCUUCCCCGGCCACUUUGUUUACCUACUCAAGCCUCAGCAAUGGUGGACGCCACUCCCCUGCCAGGCUGCUGCCUCGCAGGUCGAUCUCAGACCACUGCGCUAGCAGUGAGCAAGGCUCCGUGGGCAUAGGACCUGCCAAGCCAGGUGCGGAAUAUAAUCUCCUGGUGUGCCGUUUGCUAAGACCGUUGGAAAAGCACAGUAUUUGGACAGGAGUGUCCCGAUUUUCCAGGCAUAAGAAGGAACCACUUCAUAGCUUUGGAAUUGGAGGUAGAAAUAACACUCUACUGAAGAAUCGAACUUGGUUGCUGUGUUUAUAGAGAGCAGUCUCUGACCCGAGGAAUGUUCAGAUCCUUGUGCUAACGAGCUGUGUUAUAAUGGAGUUCUCUUGGUCUUAGAACACUGCAUUUUGCUGACAGAAUUCCCUCAGCUCCAUCAUGAAACACGUUUUGGUGCCAGAGAGAUUGAAAUCUGUUGAAACAAAAUGAUUUCCUCAGUUGGUGAUGCAUUUGGGCAUUUUCCAUUCUUGCUAAUGAAAAAAAGAGUCUUUGCUCAUGUGACUGAGAAAGCCUGGUGAAAUAUGCCACGAACAUCCUGAACUGAGUCCUGGCCCCAGAGCACUGAUGGCGAAGUCUUAUAUUUUGACAUGAAGCCCAACAUGGCGUAAAGAGCUAGCCAGCAUUGUAAUGCUGCCUGAGUUGGUCUUUGGCCUUCUCUAGCUUGACUUUUCUGGGGAUUGACUACCCCUGGAUGCCUGGAGCUUUUCAAGAGGCGAUUGUUUCCUUGUGGCUUGUCUAUGCUGACAAUUCCUGGAGACUCCACCUCCUCUUUGAGUUCCCCUGGGCAGGCUCUAUUCCCUAAGAGCGCCACUCUAAGCUUAUUGUUUCAUGGAAAACCAGUCUUUCAAGACAAAGGGUUGUGGGUCAACAAUGGCUUUCCCUUGGAGCUAUUUUUAUUUUACUAGGAGAUUCCUGGUAAAAUUACCAGUGCCUUCAUCGAAGUAAAUAAAUCUGUGAUGUAGGGAAUUUGAGGUAUGUGGCAUGACAAGUUGGGUAGAAAAUUUUGCCUGGGAGAGGGGUUCUUUUCAACAGCUCCUUCUCCCCAAACGUAGGAACUGAACAUUUUACAAACCAUCCUAGUUAAGUCUCUUCAUGUCUG